CAGCCGCCGCGGUAAUACCGGCGGCCCGAGUGGCGGUCACUAUUAUUGGGCUUAAAGCGUCCGUAGCCGGGUUGGGAAGUCCUCCGGGAAAUCUGGCCGCUUAACGGUCAGAAUGCCGGAGGAUACUCCCAGCCUAGGGAGCGGGAGAGGCCGAGGGGAUUCCCGGAGGAGGGGGGGAAUCCUAUAAUCCCGGGAGGACCACCUGUGGCGAAGGCGCUCGGCUGGAACGCGUCCGACGGUGAGGGACGAAGGCCAGGGGAGCAAACCGGAUUAGAUACCCGGGUAGUCCUGGCUGUAAACGAUGCGGACUUUGUGUCGGACAAGCUAUGAGCUUGUCCGGUGCCGGAGGGAAACCGUUAAGUCCGCCGCCUGGGGAGUACGGCCGCAAGGCUGAAACUUAAAGGAAUUGGCGGG
rnacentral:rRNA from 1 species